GGUCAUGAGCGCCAGCGACAAGCCCCGGCUCGCUGGCCGGCAACCCUCCUCCGCGGCGGGGUGCCCCGGGUGACGACCUGGCCGGUGCCGACGUGGCGCCGGCAAGCGCGGACC
rfam:Kineococcus radiotolerans SRS30216, complete genome.